AUUUAACUCUGGCGGCAUGCUUUACACAUGCAAGUCGAACGGCAGCGCGGGCUUCGGCCUGGCGGCGAGUGGCGAACGGGUGAGUAAUACAUCGGAACGUGCCCAGUAGUGGGGGAUAGCUCGGCGAAAGCCGGAUUAAUACCGCAUACGACCUGAGGGUGAAAGCGGGGGAUCUUCGGACCUCGCGCUAUUGGAGCGGCCGAUGGCGGAUUAGCUAGUUGGUGGGGUAAAGGCCUACCAAGGCGACGAUCUGUAGCUGGUCUGAGAGGACGACCAGCCACACUGGGACUGAGACACGGCCCAGACUCCUACGGGAGGCAGCAGUGGGGAAUUUUGGACAAUGGGCGAAAGCCUGAUCCAGCAAUGCCGCGUGUGUGAUGAAGGCCUUCGGGUUGUAAAGCACUUUUGGCGGGAACGAAAAGGACUGUGCCAAUACCACGGUUCGAUGACGGUACCCGCAGAAUAAGCACCGGCUAACUACGUG
rnacentral:rRNA from 1 species